rnacentral:lncRNA from 1 species
AAACCUGUAAGAGGAUAAAUGAAGGAGGAAAAGGCUGUACUCCAAAAUCAGUUUAUCGGAAACAGACAUCCAAAUUCACAACCAAGAAGGAAAGGCUAAAAGCAAAAAACAGACAUGCUAGUCGCCAUUAAAAGGUAUGAGAUUUGAUCUCUCAGACUAUUAGCUAAAAACUAAGCUUGCAACUCAAGAGCAAUCCAGAGCUUAUGAAUGAGAACAUAGUGUACAAAUA